rnacentral:tRNA from 1 species
GGCUUCGUAGCUCAGCUGGUAGAGCGUGCGCUGUACGAAAGCAUAUGCGGCGUCCAUGCGUGCGUCCAAAUCCCAUCGAGGCUA